rnacentral:rRNA from 1 species
UGGGGAAUAUUGCACAAUGGGCGCAAGCCUGAUGCAGCCAUGCCGCGUGUAUGAAGAAGGCCUUCGGGUUGUAAAGUACUUUCAGUCGGGAGGAAGGUGUCAAGGUUAAUAACCUUGGCAAUUGACGUUACCGACAGAAGAAGCACCGGCUAACUCCGUGCCAGCAGCCGCGGUAAUACGGAGGGUGCAAGCGUUAAUCGGAAUUACUGGGCGUAAAGCGCACGCAGGCGGUUGAUUGAGUCAGAUGUGAAAUCCCCGGGCUUAACCCGGGAAUUGCAUCUGAUACUGGGCAGCUAGAGUCUUGUAGAGAGGGGUAGAAUUCCAUGGGUAGCGGUGAAAGGCGUAGAGAUGUGGAGGAAUACCGGUGGCGAAGGCGGCCCCCUGGACAAAGACUGACGCUCAGGUGCGAAAGCGUGGGGAGCAAACAGG